rnacentral:rRNA from 1 species
CCUACGGGAGGCAGCAGUGGGGAAUAUUGGGCAAUGGGCGCAAGCCUGACCCAGCAACGCAGCGUGAAGGAAGAAGGCCUUCGGGUUGGUAACCUCUUUUUAUAGAGGCGUAGAAUGAGACGGUAGUGCCCUUUUAAAUCUACGUUAUCUACGUGCCAGGAGCCGCGGCAAUACGGCGGAGGCGAGCGUUAUGCGGAUUUAUUGGGUGUAAAGGGCGUGUAGGUGGGUGGGUAAGUCAGAUGUGAAAGUUCAGGGCUCAACCAUGAUAUUGCAUUUGAUACAGGGAUUCUUGAGUGCUGGUGAGGCAGGCGGAAUUCGUGGUGUAGCGGUGAAAUGCGUAGAUAUGCGGAAGAACACCGGUGGCGAAGGCAGAUUACUAGACAGUCACUGACGCUGAGGCGCGAAAGUGUGGGGAGCAAACAGGAUUAGAUACCCCGGUAGUC